UUUGUUUCACUUGGGUAAUAUUUUAUUUACUCAUUUAGAUCUUCAAAACUAUUUUUUCCAUAAUAAAUUUCCACUUUAUGUUCAUCAAAGAACUGUAACAAUAAAAAUAAAAGUAAAUACUGUAGAAAAAUUUUACAUAUAGAAAAUUAACAUGGUUAAUGGACACCUACAUGUUGAGAACCCUCUGUCGGGUCCCUCGGACGCCUCCCUCUUCUCCAGAUGGCAAAACAAGAGGAGGGGGGGGGUCACGGAGAAGGAACACGCAAGAAAUAACCCGACUCCUUUUGACGGCACACUUUGAGGUUCCACGCACGAGUCCUUUUUUUGUCUCUCUCUCUCUCGCGCGGUUGGCUCUGCUUCUGAUUUGCAUGCAUCUGAUUGGUCGGUCGUAUCCCUUGACCCUCCUUGAUUUUUUUCAUUUUUUUUGGUUUUGUUUCUGUCCAUGGCACAAUAUAUCAUAUACAGGCGUCUCAUGUGGGGUACGACUUGUAAAAGAGACGGGGGGUCCGAGCGGAGAAAGAGGGGGCGCAGGAGCCGGCGACCCGGGGGGGGUGGGGGGUGCGGUGGAUCCCUCCUACAUGUCCGUCUGGGAUUGGUCAGCAUGUUAGUCAUAGUAUCAGUACAGACAACACAAUCAACCAAUAGCGGGGAGACAACAUGGGGUCGUCAUGGUGACAGAGAGAAGGGAGAGCCAAUGGGAAUGAGUAAAAAAAAAAACAUAAAAAAAGCAACUCAGGUAUUCAUAGAACCGAUGGCGUCAUAAACUUGACUUUUCUAUCUAGUUGCAACACAUGAUAACAUUUACUGAGUUUUUUUAGUAAUUCCUUUUCCUCGGUGGCGGUUUGCUAUAAAACGUGGUCGAGAGGAGCAGUAUAAGUGGCCAUGCCCCC
ensembl:lncRNA